UAUUCAUGUCUUAGAUGAUAUAAUUUAUGAACCAAAUUCAACUUAUGUUUAUUUAUGUGCUAGAGUAAAAUACCUUGCUGCAUAUUGCUGGAGAUUCACAACACACAAAUUAAUCGACUACAGCCACAGGUGUCAGGGAGAGGAAUUUGGAUGCUUCCACUUUGGAGAUGAUUUCUACCUACUGAGUUGAAUUGUUGGAGGGUGGCUAGGAGAUACAAUUACAAGAAAGAUUUCACAAGGUAGAGGAAGAGGAAACAGAAAGAUUUGUACCUAUUGUAACAAAACAGAUCAUACAUUUGAAGUAUGUUACAAGAAACAUGGAUAUCCACCAAAUUUUGGAUGUGGAGGUGGAGGAACCUCCUAUGCCAAUCAUGCAGAUGCAGAAGAGUCAGAGGACAAAUAUCACAGUCUCAUUGCCUUGCUGGAGAAAAGUAAUGUUUAAGGUAAAGGUGCAACAGCAAAUGUGAUCAAAAGAGCAAGUAGCUCAGGUUAUGGAAGAGGUAAAUUUUUCUCAAUAUCAUUUAAUUCUCACAUAGUGGAUUCUAGCUGGAUUUUAGACACUGUAGCCACACGCCACAUAUGUCAUUCAUUAGACUGGUACAAGACAUACAACAUUAUAGAGGUGAGAUUACCAAAUGGUAGUUCAGUAGCAGCAACUUGCAUUGGAAAGAUACUAUUAAAUAGUGACUUGAUAAUUGAAAAUGUUCUAUUUGUGCCUGAGUUUGUAGUGAACUUACCAUCAGUUUUCCAACUGUGUUCAGAACAAAAAUGCUUACUGACCUUUGAACCUGAAUAUUUUACCAUACAGGCUAAGAAGGAUUUGAGGAUGAUUGGUUUGGCUAAGCAAUUAGAAGGUUAAAUAUCAUACACCAACCUAUUGCCUUCCCAUAAAACCUAUGCCCUAGUAUUGACAUCAGAAGUUGAACCUAAUUCUUAUGCACAUGCCAGCAUUGAAUCCAAGUGGAUUGCAGCAAUAGAAUUAGAACUUAAUGCACUCAAUGUUAACAAAACAUGGGAAUUUGUUACACUGCCCCUUGAUGUUGUUCCUAUAACUAUAGGGAUCAAGUGGGUAUAUAAAAUCAAGAGGCAUGCAUAUGGUACAGUUGAGAGAUACAAAGUUCAUCUAGUUGCUCAAGGUUUCACAAAAACUGAGGGGCUAGAUUAUUUUGAGACCUGAUCCCCAAGAGCAAAAAACACCACCAUCAGAAUUUUGAUUGUUUUAGCCUCCAUUCAUGGUUGGCAUAUUCACCAACUGGACGUGAAUAAUGCAUUUCUCCAUGGGAACCUCCAUGAAGUUGUUUAUAUGAAGCCACCACAAGGAGUGACACCUCCAAAGCCAGGACAAGUGUGUAGGUUGCUCAAGUCAAUGUAUUGACUUAAGCAGGCCAGUUGCCAGUGGUUCGAGAAACUUAUUUGCUUUCUUAUUUCUGUUGGGUUUACACAAGGCCAUGUUGACCAUACCUUGUUCAUUUAAUCCACAGAGAUUUCAUUUACUGUGUUGCUCGUUUAUGUUGAUGAUAUAAUCCUUGUUGGGACUUAUCUUGCUGCAUUUGAUGAACUAAAACAGUCUCUUGACAAGGUUUUUCGAAUUAAGAAUCUUGGACAACUCAAGUUUUUCCUUGGACUUGAAGUGGCUCAUUCAUCAAAAGAGAUCUCUUUAUGCCAACGGAAAUAUUGCCCUGAACUCCUCCGUGACUCUGGAUUGGCAGGCUGCAAGCCGACUUCCACACCAUUAAAUCCUGCCCGUCGAUUGCAUCAAGAUUCAGGCCCUACAUUCGCUGACGUUGCUGGUUAUAGGCGCAUGGUUGGUAGGUUGUUGUUCCUUACAAUGACUAGGCCUGACAUAGCAUUUGCUACACAACAAUUAAGUCAAUCCAUAGCUUCUCCAUCUACUGCUCAUCACAGUGCACCCUCGGAGUUCUCAAAUACUUGAAAAGAUCACCAGGUCAUGGCCUAUUCUUUUCUUGUGCCUCUGCUCUACAUAUUCUUAGCUUUAGUCAUGCAGAUUGGGGUGGUUUUGUGGAUUCUCGACGCUUUUAUUUCUGGUUAUUGCUUCUUCCUUGGUCAUUCUCUUGUCUCGUGGAAGUCGAAGAAACAACUUCACAUUGCAGCGAAUCUCGUUUUUCAUGAGCGUAACAAACACUUGGAUAUUGAUUGUCAUCUUGUCCGAGAAAAGAUUCAGGCUGGUUUGAUGUGUCUACUUCCUAUUUCUUCUUAACGUCAGGUUGCUUAUGAGUUCAUUAAGGUGUCUCAUCCUUGUGCUUUCAUGAUUGUUUUACCAAGCUUGGACUUUUGGAUAUUUUCCACCCUCUAGCUUGCGAGGGGUAACAAACUUAGAAAAUACAGAUCCAGAGUGUUCGCUAUUUUGACUUACGAGUUUAGUUAGUUUUCUGUUGUAACUAACUUGUAGGUAGUUACUUAGUUUGGCUCUACUCAUAUAAAAGCCACUCUAUUGUAAUCAGUUUCAUAAUUCAAGACGAUCAAUUUCAUUCCUUUCGCUUUAGUUCAA